rnacentral:tRNA from 1 species
GGAGCGGUAACUCAACUGGUAGAGUAGCGGCCUUUUAAGCCGUUAGUUGUGGGAUCGUACCCCACCCGCUUCACCA